rnacentral:rRNA from 1 species
UACGAAGGGGGCUAGCGUUGCUCGGAAUCACUGGGCGUAAAGCGCACGUAGGCGGCUUUCUAAGUCAGGGGUGAAAUCCUGGAGCUCAACUCCAGAACUGCCUUUGAUACUGGAGAGCUUGAGUCCGGGAGAGGUGAGUGGAACUCCGAGUGUAGAGGUGAAAUUCGUAGAUAUUCGGAAGAACACCAGUGGCGAAGGCGGCUCACUGGCCCGGUACUGACGCUGAUGUGCGAAAGCGUGGGGAGUAAACAGG